GGUCGUGAUGGUCGUGGAGCAACUUUGAACAUGCUCAAAACAAACGUAGUGCGGUCGUGGUCAAAUUUGAUCGUAGUGGAAGCGUAGUAAGGACGUACUAAGGUCGUAUCUAGAUCGGCAUGGUCGUAGUAGCAUCGUAAUGGGAUCGUGAUGCAGAAGAAAACUACUGCACUGCGAUUCCACUACGCUCUCUAUACGACCAUCCCGUUUUCACUACGUUCUCAUUACGAUCAUCCCGUUUGCACUACGUUUUCUUCACGCUUCUGCUACGAUCACGGCACGUCUAUACUAUGUUGUUGAAGACUGUAGUACGUUUCUACCAAGCUCAUCCCGUCCUUAAUACGUCCUCACUACAAUUUCACUACGAGCAAGCCACGACCGAAUCACGUUCUAUUCUCCCACACACACUGGUAUAAAACUGAACAAAGGUUGCAUAUGCCCAUUGCUUCUUUGGAAUCAUGGAAAGGCCAGACCAAGAAAUAUUGAUGGAAAUGUUGAUGCAUAUUCAGUAUAUGGCACUGAGAAUCAUAAGGCAUCGCAGAUCUUGCUGGAUGACAAGAAGGUUCUGAGCUGUAUUUAUACUGAAUCUGGAUCUGAUUCAGCUGCUGCAAAGCGUGGCGACAGCGGCGCGGAAACGUGGUAGAACCGUAGUAAGAUCGUGGUAGAAUCGUUGUAAGAUCGUGGUACAAUCGUGGCAGACGCGUAGGAAACUCGUGUUACAGUCGUGGGAGUCGUGGUGAGAGCGUAGUUAGAACGUGAUGGACGUAGUGGGAGCGUAGUAAGAACUUGAUAAACGUAGUGAGAACGUGGUGAAAUCGUAACAAGGCCGUAGUUUAAUCGUAGUGGAGUCGUGAUAAGAGCGUAGUGAGGACGCAAUAACAUCGUGAAGACAGACAAAAUUACAAAUUCAUGCCGUUCGCACUACGAUCUCACCACGAUCUUAAAAAAAAAAUAUGAUAGAACGUAGUGAGGUCGUGAUGUAGUGUGACAGGGCCAUUAGUAGCGCUUUAGGAGCAUAACAAAACUUCCUUUUUUAGGGAAGUCGUUGUGACCGAGUGGACUUACGCACUGGUUUGACAAUCUUCGACCCCGGGCUGAGGCGAAAAUUUUCAGUACCUAGUUGUGAUUAUUUAGUGCUUUGUAUAUAUAUAUAUAUUGUCACAAUUAAUGUAUAUAUUUCCCGAUUAUAGCUCCAUAGAUGUUAGGAUCUUUAUCAUGUUAAAUAAUUAAAUAUCUCAAUGUGUUUCCAUAGUAUGCGAAUCGUUCACCUGGUAUGCUUGAACAUUUAAAUCCCGUGCAGUUAGUUUGGGUGUAGCAAUUGCCGGGUGCGGACGUGUUUAUUCGCAUUGAUAUUCAUGUAUUUUAUCUAGUAAUAGUCAUCAAGUUUUGAUACCUUGUGACCAGAGUCCACUACUUCUGAGAUCCCUUCUUCAUUUGACUCCUAUUUGAAAAACGGUAAAGGAUGAACAUUUGUGUAUAACUUGAGUAUUAAAACAGUAUAAACCUUAAAA